ensembl:lncRNA
CACCACCCCACACACACACACACACACACACACACACACACACACACACACACACACACACACACACACACACACACACACACACACACACACACAAAAUGUCUGACCUGAACUAUUCCUGGGUUGCAUAUUUCAUUCCUGUCUGCCCUCAAGCAGCCAACAGAAAUCCAGCGGUUCUGAUUUACCUGCGGAUAAAUCUAAGGGCAUAUGUGUUGGAUUUAGCGCCAUAGUACAGUUUAGAGUUUACAGCGUUGCUUUAUGACGGAAGCUCAUGCAGCUGGUCCCCAGACCGAGUGCAGUGAGGUUUACCGGAUGACUCGAUAAACAAAGAUUGCUGCGGCCAUAGUGAAGGAGCAUGGUGUGCUUCAGGGACAAGGACAGGACCGUGGUUUACUAUCAGCUGCUUGGGGGCAAACACGACGUGAACCCACCGGUUGUGGGGAUUGAUUGUGCCGGUGUGGUGGUACGCCGGCCAGGUGAACUGAGCCAUCCAAACAGUGCUCCCUGACCAGCAACAGCCCACCAGCUCCCCUUCCCAGUCUCCGGCUUCAUUGACAGCCAGUCCCACGCCAUGGUGAGUGCCCACCAGACCCUCUGACACCCCAAGGUCGCGCAAGCGGCAGAGGGAGGAUGACAUUUUGGACUACCUUGAGAGGUCUGAUGCUGCUGCGACGGCUGCUUCCGACAAAUUGAUGAUGCCACUGAGGGAGGAUCAGAGCAAGCUACCUCCAGUUGUUCAGCAAGAUAGUGGAAAAUAUCUGAGGCGGGCACGAUAACGGACCAACAAGACUUCUUCCAUUCUAUUUUUUUGUAUCUACUCAUUUUGUAUUUUAUUUGCGUUCAAUCUUUAAUUGACUUUCACCUUUCUAUUUUAUGUUAAAUUAACCUUAUGUUUCAAUUUUAUUUGCACUCAAUCUUUCAUUUUACUAUUUUAACUUUUUAUUUUAAGUUAAAUUAAACUUGUUAAUUGUCCUAGUCUUAUUGUUUUUUGAAAUUUUACAUGGGCAUUUUGGUGUGCUUGAAUGUCACCCAAGCUUGUUUAGUUACAAAGGCACCUCACUGCAAAUGAGUUGUGGCCAAAGAUUUUAGAAAGUAAUUUACUGCUUCUUGCAUCAACAUUUUUAGGGGAAACUAUACAAAAACAGGACAGGUGUGUUGCAUUCUGUGAUAUCAAAUAAGUGAAGUAGCCUAAUUGGAGUUUAAGUGUUAAGCUUGUUAUAUUAUAACUAGGCUCUCGUCCCCACCAAUUAAAACAAAGAGCAACACUUGGUCAUCACAGUUAACGUCGCUAUUGUUUUUGGCACAUCGGUAGCUAGUUUGCUAGCCUUCGAGUUAAAGUUGCUUUUUUAUCAAGCUGCAAAAAACGUCUUUACACGUGGGUCACACCAGGCCCCCCUUCCGAGUAGCACAGUAUGCUUUGAUUGGUCAGCACGCUUUGCACGUGCGUGUAAAAAACGAACUUAACUUUAACGAAUUUGUGUUGCAUAGUUUAACUAUGCUCCACUAUUAGUUGUGUAUAUUGUUGUAUAAUUUCAUGUUUUUUUCCAAAGCAUAAUAAUAACCAGGAUGUAAAUGUGGUGUUUUCAAAUUGAAAUAUAACUUUUACAAAGCUAGGUACAACAAAUAAAAC